rnacentral:rRNA from 1 species
ACGCGGGAAUGCUUAGUAGCGGCGAGUGAGCGGCAAGAGCUCAAAUUUGAAAUCUGGUACUUUCAGUAUCCGAGUUGUAAUUUGAAGAAAGUUAUCUUGGAGUUGGCCCUUGUCUAUGUUCCUUGGAACAGGACGUCACAGAGGGUGAGAAUCCCGUGCGAUGGGGUGCCCAUUCUAUGUAAGAUACUUUCGACGAGUCGAGUUGUUUGGGAAUGCAGCUCUAAGUGGGUGGUAAAUUCCAUCUAAAGCUAAAUAUUGGCGAGAGACCGAUAGCGAACAAGUACAGUGAUGGAAAGAUGAAAAGAACUUUGAAAAGAGAGUGAAAAAGUACGUGAAAUUGUUGAAAGGGAAGGGUAUUUGAUCAGACUGAUAUUCAGUUAACACUGUUCCUUGUGGAUGGUGCUCUAGCUUUUUAUUGGGCCAGCAUCAGUUUAGGUGGCAGGAUAAGAACUGUUGAACGUGGCUCUUCGGAGUGUUAUAGCUUCAGUUGAUACUGCCUAUCUAGACUGAGGUCUGCGGCUUUGCCUAGGAUGCUGGCGUAAUGGUCUAAUACCGCCCGAAAAAAAACACGGACCA